AAACAACAACAAAAAGACCAUAAAAUAGUGAUGUCCCGAACAUUAUGGAAAAAAGCAGGAGAAACUAAGCUUUAGAAAUGAAAGGUGCUGCCAGCCUGGUUUCCAGGGUUACCGCUGUCCUGAACCUAAAGACCCAGAAUGUGAUGAGCUCCUGUUUUUAAACGCGCUGCUGCUUUUCCGUCAACUGGGCUUCCAGAUACAAAGCCCAGAAGCUUCCCCUCGCUGAAUGGUAACCAGCGCACCGCUACUGACAGCAAACACAGUCUAGCUCUUGCUACAAAAAUGACCAUGGAAGGAUUCUGACUCUCCAAUCCUGAUCACAAACCCACCAUCUGUACUCAUCACUGUGGCCAGAGAGUGCAAUCCCCUAAUACAUGUCAAGAAAACAUGAUGAUGGAUGGAACUGACUGCCCUGCUGUUAUGCAGGUGCUGUGUUCUGUAUGUCAGUAUCCUAGAGAGCAGCACUUGCAUCCCAAGACACAACAGAAGCCAGAGAUCACCAAAGAUCACAUUUUAUGCCAGGGGGAGGUAGUGACCGAAAUACUGAUCCUUAAUAACAUGUGCACAGUGUUCUUUAGCAUCUGGGCAUUACCAGAAUUAUUUAAAAUAUAUAUAUUAAAAUUAUUAGUAUUUUAAAGAAGAUCAAAUAAUGUAUGAUUGUAUUGCAUUCUUACACACUGCUUUUCAAUGCCCUUAUAUCUGGUAUACUUUGUUCUUCCUCCUAGAAUGCAUUUCUCUUUCAUUUUCUAAGCCUUUAAGAUCCUAUCUGAAUGUCUUUUAUGAAAUAGUUUCAUCUUUG
ensembl:lncRNA